AAAUGCCACCUUUUGAGAGCCCUUAUAAAAUUGUCAAUUUUGAAGAAUUUUGGACAUUUUUGACCAUCUGAAUAAUUUCAAUACCUUGUAUGUCUUGCAUUAAAUGAGAUAAGACUUGAUAAAAGAUUGUACAAAAUUGUGUACCAAAUAACUCAAUGUGGGAAAUAAAACAAAAAAAUAAGGAGGUGAAAUGCCCAAAAGAAGAAGAAAAUGAAACUGACCCAAACACACUCACAUCUCUCACAAAACCGACUUAAACGCACUCCUCUCACUGAAAUCGCCCAUCUCCGUCCCAUCCUGUGACGACCUUCACUGUUGAUGACGACGAAAACAAAAUACGAAUUCACUCCUCUAUCAUUCGAAUUGAUCAAAGUCGAGCAUCAUCUCUCCUCUGUUAAUCGAAUCAUCCAACACCUAGCCGUCCACGAUCGCCGUGAAUCUGUCCAUUGCUAGUGAAGACCGUCACUAAUAUCUUGAGGUUGGUGUUUUCUUUAUUUUUUGUUUGCAUUUUCUGGAAAAGAGGAAUAUGAAUAUGAAGCACCUAUUGAACAAAAGAGCGAACCGUUGAUGCAUUUUAAGAAUAUUUCAUUAGUUAUUACUUAAGAAAUGUGAGGAACAAUUUCUGUUGCUCACUUCACUUGGUUUAUUUGUCUCGGCAACUGCAAGCGAGGAAGUUACUAUUUUGUCAUCCUGGGAUUUGUCAUUUGUUUGCUAAGAUUGAUAACGAACGAAAAUAUGCCCCUUUUAUAGGAGGAUUUCUUAUCUUAUCGAUAUCACGAUAUGUAUAUAUUUUUUGUUGUACAGAGAAGUUAAUGUUAGGGAAUGUGUUGGACUAAAUAAUUUAAGCUGGUUGAAUUUAUUUUUUUAUUAUUUACAUACUUUUUAGGACUCAUAUUUUACUAUUUAUUUUUUAUUCAAACAUUGUUAAUAAGAUAUUUGGAAUGUUCUUUUCUUUUAAGGCAAUAACUUCUGUACUUUUGACUUUUGCACAAAGUGAAGGGCAAUUAUUUCUCAAAUUACAAAUAACUGAGCUGUUGAUUUACUCAUGAAAGCGAUGAAAGGAUGGCAAAAUUUUCCUGUUUUAGACUGUAUGUCUAUAUUGCAUUGUCUGACUUAAAUUUUUCGUUCCGAAAUUUUUGAACUCAUUUCGAAUUAUUUGAUUUUAUAUGAUUCGAUAUAAACUAUAUUUUGAUAAUAAUAAUAAAAUUAAUAAAUUAAAGAAGACAAUCAAUAGAGAUUUUUUUUUUCUAUUUUUCAACUUUCCUCCGAGAUUUCCUCUUUGAUUUUUUUAACUCUUAUCAUUCUAUUUUUCGAGAAUCCUCGAGAGAAUGAUAAGAGAAACGCCAUUUAGCCCGAGAUUUCCUUUCUCUUUUGGCAGGGGGUGACCCAGGUGCCCCUGGAUAAAUGCUCUACACAGCACACCAUUUUGAAGAAGCCCUUUUGUUUCACUUUUUCCUGAUGUAUGACAAGUUUAAUAUCUUAUUUCAUUCUACAAUAAGAUGCACCAUGUGUUCUUAUGUUUCCAUUUGGCUGGUUUAGUAGGAAAAAUUCCCUUUUGUUUCACUUUUUCCCGAUGUAUGAGAAAUUUAAUAUCUUAUUUCAUUCUACAACUUGCAUUCUUAGUUUCCUAGAGAGAAAUAACCGAGUAAUUGAAUAUAUGGGAUUUCAUUAAUUGAGUAUAAUUUGUUCUUAGAAUGUAAGGUUAUUCGGAUAUGUCCAAGUGUGAGGACUUCCAUUUUCCCAAAAUAUGAACCGUCUUUGCAUUUGCAUGUACACUUAUCAUUGAGUCAUUUAUGUAAUCAUGUUUGAAGUCAUUUAUGUAUACGGUCAAAAUUGUUCGUCAUAUAACCCGAUCAUUUAUGCUUGGAAAAUCAUGACCGUGCAUGGCAUACGAUUUGAGCGGAUCAUUCACAGUUUUUGUUGUUACAAUUGGCUUCAAACAUGAAUUACAUGCUCAUACCUUGCAUUCGUAUUGAACUGAUUGUGGUUUAAACGUUGUCCUUGCAUGUCUCCUUUGUCCACUUCUGUUGCACAGCUUACUUUAGUAGGUAGAUCAACUCCCGGUGAACUGUCGUUCCAGAUAUUUCACCUCAAUUAUUCUCGACAGUUCACCUCACUCCAGCCCUGUUUGGAUAUCAACCGUCGAUGUUAACAGAUAAUCUGUCGAUAUCGGUAGUUGAUGUCAGUUUUUCUCGACAGUUCACUUAGUCCAUGCAUGAGUUCGAUUCAUUAAAUGUUACAUGUGAUAUAUUAUGUUUAACAUUAUCAUGUAACCCCAGACUUUUUCUCACUGGACCUUGCAGGACAUAUGUAGUUCGAAUUCCUCAUUCCAAAAGAUGCACGGUUGCGGGUCCAUAUUUCCCAACGAACCAACCUUAAGGAUGUGGGGUUAAUUUAGAGUGGAUGGACGGAAUUUGAAAAUUAUGAAUGGUUAUGUACACUAAUAUUUGUUUUACAAUGAAGACACUAGAAACUCUUUCCAUGUUCAUAGGUCACGGCGAUUGAUUUCCAAAUUUACUUGGAGAUUGGACUUGGUGGUUAGGUAAUAAAUUUGAGUAAUUGCUUCCUCUAUUCAAGUUGUUUAUAAAUAGCAUGUUGCAAUUGUCAAUUACAC
rnacentral:lncRNA from 1 species